rnacentral:rRNA from 1 species
AAACCAACAGGGAUUGCCUCAGUAACGGCGAGUGAAGCGGCAACAGCUCAAAUUUAAAAUCUGGCCCUAGGCCCGAGUUGUAAUUUGCAGAGGAUGCUUUUGGUGCGGUGCCUUCCAAGUUCCCUAGAACGGGACGCCAGAGAGGGUGAGAGCCCCGUACAGUUGGACACCAAGCCUUUGUAAAGCUCCUUCGACGAGUCGAGUAGUUUGGGAAUGCUGCUCAAAAUGGGAGGUAUAUUUCUUCUAAAGCUAAAUACCGGCCAGAGACCGAUAGCGCACAAGUAGAGUGAUCGAAAGAUGAAAAGCACUUUGAAAAGAGGGUUAAACAGCACGUGAAAUUGUUAAAAGGGAAGCGCUUGUGACCAGACUUGCGUCCGGUGAAUCACCCAGCUCUCGCGGCUGGGGCACUUCGCCGGCUCAGGCCAGCAUCAGCUCGCUGUCGGGGACAAAAGCUUCGGGAACGUAGCUCUCUUCGGGGAGUGUUAUAGCCUGUUGCACAAUACCCUUCGGCGGGCUGAGGUACGCGCUCCGCAAGGAUGCUGGCAUAAUGGUCAUCAGCGAC